rnacentral:rRNA from 1 species
CAGUCGCCGCGGUAAUACGGAGGGAGCUAGCGUUGUUCGGAAUUACUGGGCGUAAAGCGCGCGUAGGCGGUUACUCAAGUCAGAGGUGAAAGCCCGGGGCUCAACCCCGGAACUGCCUUUGAAACUAGGUGACUAGAAUCUUGGAGAGGUCAGUGGAAUUCCGAGUGUAGAGGUGAAAUUCGUAGAUAUUCGGAAGAACACCAGUGGCGAAGGCGACUGACUGGACAAGUAUUGACGCUGAGGUGCGAAAGCGUGGGGAGCAAACAGGAUUAGAUACCCGUGUAGUCCCUGUCUCUUAUAA